rnacentral:rRNA from 1 species
CAAGUCGAGCGGACUUUUAAAGCUUGCUUUUGAAAGGUCAGCGGCGGACGGGUGAGUAACACGUGGGCAACCUGCCUGUAAGACUGGGAUAACUUCGGGAAACCGGAGCUAAUACCGGAUAAUAUAAGGAACCUCCUGGUUCUUUAUUGAAAGAUGGUUUCGGCUAUCACUUACAGAUGGGCCCGCGGCGCAUUAGCUAGUUGGUGAGGUAACGGCUCACCAAGGCGACGAUGCGUAGCCGACCUGAGAGGGUGAUCGGCCACACUGGGACUGAGACACGGCCCAGACUCCUACGGGAGGCAGCAGUAGGGAAUCUUCCACAAUGGACGAAAGUCUGAUGGAGCAACGCCGCGUGAGCGAUGAAGGCCUUCGGGUCGUAAAGCUCUGUUGUUAGGGAAGAACAAGUGCGAGAGUAACUGCUCGCACCUUGACGGUACCUAACCAGAAAGCCACGGCUAACUACGUGCCAGCAGCCGCGGUAAUACGUAGGUGGCAAGCGUUGUCCGGAAUUAUUGGGCGUAAAGCGCGCGCAGGUGGUCCUUUAAGUCUGAUGUGAAAGCCCACGGCUCAACCGUGGAGGGUCAUUGGAAA